GCCCACCUGCCCCGUUUCCUCUCCCUCCCGCAUAUUCUUCCAUCUUGAUGUGCAGCUCCCGCCGGCCGAUCCCGCCUCCUUCCAGCGCGCCGCCGCCGGCGCGUCCCCGGCUUCCUCUGCCGCACCGGCCUCCGCCUUCCUAUGCGGCCGUCCGGCAGGUGCCCCCGCAUCUCCAUGUUCCCCUCGCGCAGGCGCAGCUGACCGGGCACUCACAUCUCCCCGGAUCCCACCCGCCGCCGGCGCCGGCUCGGCUCAACAUCUGCGUCCCUUACGCCGCCUCCAUCCACUGAUUCCCGGCCGCCGGCCCAACCCUACGCGCCAUCCAUCUCGUCGGCCUGCCACAGCAGUAGUGCGCCGCCUCUCCAUUCCUCCCGCCGGGCCGGCCGAGCCUCCCUAUCCCCCAACCCAAACUCCGGCGCCAUCGGCCUUCCUCUCCCGAAUCCAAAUUCCGGUUCCGCCUCUGUAUUCCUCUGCUCGAACAGCCCUUGCCUCCCUCAACCCGUACUCUGGCGUCGCUGGUAACCUCCCCGUCAAGAACAACACGGCAGUACAAUAUUUAUUUGCAGGGAAGAUCAACUGGGUACCAAUAGCAGUGGACUUAUUUGCGGCGGAAGCUUGAGGCACGCUGCCGCGGAAUCGAUCCGAGGGAGGCGCCUAGGAAGACCCCGGGUGCAGAGCUCCACAAGGAUCCGGGCACGAUCCAGCCGAUGCUGCAGGUGGAGGACGACCUUCUGGAUAUCAUGUGGCGUCCACCAGAAAGAUUGGAUCUCUUUCCCUGCUUGCUUUACUUAAUCGGUAUACUGAUUAUUUGUUGUUGUGUCCGGAUACGAGCAUUUGCAUCCAAGCUGGGAUCUCCUGGUAGUUUCUUCAAUCGUGGUAGCAUUUGCAUGCCUCUGCAUCACAAAGGCACUAGAUAAUAAUGUUGAUGUGAUUUGCAUCUUGCUAAAACUAUUGUCUCUGGGUUUGCGUCUGCUAACAUUGAUUACUGGUGAUGGAGUAGUGAUAUUAGUACUCCUAGGAUUAGCAUUGCAGCAAUGUUGGCACUAUCUCCACUUCCCUCUAAAGAAUCUGCCACUCCUAGGAGUAUUGUUCAGACUUGAGAGUAGGCAGGCUUUGGUAAACAUAAUUUGUUAGUUUCUAAUUUUUCUUUAAUGGGCUCAAAACACAGGAUUUUUUGCUUCAUUUGCAUCUCUCGGUUAUCUUAAGGGUCCCAUUUGAAUGUUUUAUUAAUCCCAUGAUAUGAUUCAGUUUUGGCGCAUUUCAUUUAGAGUGGUUCUGAUAAUUAGAAUGCUAGACCGUAUUGGUUUGUAAGCUGUAAUGAUAUUCUGAUUAUCUGUUGCCAAUUUAUUUUCAACAGAACAAAAAGCUCAAGGAUGUGGAGAUUAGUUUUCUCAUCGUUUAUGGAACCAUUUCUUUUUUGGCUUUGUAAAAAAUCAACAGAGUAAGCAUUUAUUUGAAUCUGUGGCAUAUUAUCUGUCGGUGAGUAAACACGAUAUGGUUGAUGUGCGCGCGGCAACCGCCGCCACCGCUGCAUCUUCCCCCGACCCCGCCGCUGCCUCGCAGCGCUGAUGGAUGAUCGCCAUCCACCACUGCCCCGUCCUCUGCAACGAGUAGGGAAGCCCCACCGGUUGCCGUUGUCGACCUGGAAGCAGCAACAGUACAGGUUCGUCCUCAACAGCAGUACAGGCGAGACCCCGCAGAAGAACACAUAUCCAUACCAGGCAGUACAUAUGUUUGCUGCGAUAAGUACAAGACAGAAGUAAAGUAUUUAAUCACCAGGGUUUGUGAGAUGAGCAGCUUAUUAUGUGGGUAAAAAAAUCAUCAUCUGGAAGCACCAGUAGUCACGUUCGGUCAGUAUACAAUGAUGUGGGCUGAUGUACAGAGGGACACGUGGGUGCCAAGAAGCUCAAGAAAUGAUGCAAGAAGAGAUCAAGCUCACAAAGCAUACACUACAACACCAAAGAAUAGAUGCCAGAAUAGAUGCACCGCUCAGGAAGAAGACGUUUGGUGCGCAGUUAUGUUCUUUUGUAUCUGUAUGACAAACAGCUAUACACGACCAGCUCCUUGUGACAAUCAUAUCCAACAGCUUUUAGCUCCGAACAUAAGAAAAAUGUUUUUCUCUCCAAAACUUUCAUCAAGGUAUGCCAAAACAAAAAAAUCAGUAUGCAUGGUUGUGUACCAACAGAAUCUCAAUGAGCCUGAUCCGAAAGAAUAACACAAAAAAGGAGUCAGCCGCGAGGAGUCAGGAUUGAGCGGAAGGCCUCAGCUCAAUGUAAGGAGAAAGGGGAUAGGUGUUGUACUGCACUGGGCGGUGGCCGGCGGCGCACGGAAAUACACCACUAUGAAAAUUCUAUAUCGAGAGAAAAGAGCGAGAGACGGGACAAAAGAAAUAAGUACAACAUGCUUAGCGUAGUCGUGGUGUCCGACCACAGCGGGGAGCCAAACAACGACAAAGGUCUUCAAGAUGUGUAUAUAGUGGGUUUCAAAAAGGUGAAGAAGGUGAAAGAUAAACUAAUUAGGAUGGUCCAAAUGGAGUCAUAAUUAAACUCUUCUAUUCUCCCCAUGUUGCUAAAAGGU